UGCGGUGAUGCAGCAGGCGAUGGAGGAAAUAGUGCCAGGUGUCCUCUAUCACAGCACAGCCUAGACACUGAGCUAACAGGUAGGGCCUGGGGAGGGGAGAGAUAGACAGAACAGCCUAGACACUGAGUUAACAGGUAGGGCCUGGGGAGGGAGAGAUAGACAGAACAGCCUAGACACUGAGUUAACAGGUAGGGCCUGGGGAGGGAGAGAUAGACAGAACAGCCUAGAUACUGAGUUAACAGGUAGGGCCUGGGGAGGGAGAGAGAGACAGAACAGCCUAGACACUGAGUUAACAGGUAGGGCCUGGGGAGGGGAGAGAUAGACAGAACAGCCUAGACACUGAGUUAACAGGUAGGGCCUGGGGAGGGAGAGAUAGACAGAACAGCCUAGACACUGAGUUAACAGGUAGGGCCUGGGGAGGGAGAGAUAGACAGAACAGCCUAGAUACUGAGUUAACAGGUAGGGCCUGGGGAGGGAGAGAUAGACAGAACAGCCUAGACACUGAGCUAACAGGUAGGGCCUGGGGAGGGAGAGAUAGACAGAACAGCCUAGACACUGAGUUAACAGGUAGGGCCUGGGGAGGGAGAGAUAGACAGAACAGCCUAGACACUGAGCUAACAGGUAGGGCCUGGGGAGGGGAGAGAUAGACAGAACAGCCUAGACACUGAGUUAACAGGUAGGGCCUGGGGAGGGGAGAGAUAGACAGAACAGCCUAGACACUGAGUUAACAGGUAGGGCCUGGGGAGGGAGAGAUAGACAGAACAGCCUAGACACUGAGUUAACAGGUAGGGCCUGGGGAGGGAGAGAUAGACAGAACAGCCUAGAUACUGAGUUAACAGGUAGGGCCUGGGGAGGGAGAGAGAGACAGAACAGCCUAGAUACUGAGUUAACAGGUAGGGCCUGGGGAGGGGAGAGAUAGACAGAACAGCCUAGACACUGAGUUAACAGGUAGGGCCUGGGGAGGGGAGAGAUAGACAGAACAGCCUAGACACUGAGUUAACAGGUAGGGCCUGGGGAGGGAGAGAUAGACAGAACAGCCUAGACACUGAGUUAACAGGUAGGGCCUGGGGAGGGAGAGAUAGACAGAACAGCCUAGAUACUGAGUUAACAGGUAGGGCCUGGGGAGGGAGAGAGAGACAGAACAGCCUAGACACUGAGUUAACAGGUAGGGCCUGGGGAGGGGAGAGAUAGACAGAACAGCCUAGACACUGAGCUAACAGGUAGGGCCUGGGGAGGGGAGAGAUAGACAGAACAGCCUAGACACUGAGUUAACAGGUAGGGCCUGGGGAGGG